AACGGCCGUACCAUGCUGAAUAUACCGGUUCUCGUUAGAUCACCAAAGUUAAGCAUCAUUGGGCGCGGUCAGUACUUGGGUGGGUGACCACCUGGGAAUAUUGCGUGCCGUU
rnacentral:rRNA from 1 species